rnacentral:rRNA from 1 species
UACAGAGGUGGCAAGCGUUGUUCGGAAUUACUGGGCGUAAAGGGCGCGUAGGCGGUCUUGUAAGUCCUGUGUGAAAGCCCUCGGCUCAACUGAGGAAUUGCACAGGAUACUGCUCGACUUGAGUUCGGGAGAGGGACGCGGAAUUCCGGGUGUAGCGGUGAAAUGCGUAGAUAUCCGGAGGAACACCGGUGGCGAAGGCGGCGUCCUGGACCGACACUGACGCUGAGGCGCGAAAGCUAGGGGAGCAAACGGG